UGUUUGCUUUUCCUCUCUGUGUAGAGAAGAUGAAGUGAUUCAAAAAAAGCAAAAAGUCCUGCAGAGGGGCCAGCUGAUAAACGUGGAGAAACAGAUGGAUUUGAUUACUCUUUUUGUCUUUUAGUCAUAGUUUUAAUGAAGAGAAGGUAGUCAUCUGGGAACAAUCAUGGUUCAUUAUUCCAGCAGUAGGUUUAAGAGUGUUGGUAUCACCUGUGGUGCAUUACACUAAUACCCUUGAGUUGUAGUUGACUGUUCACUCCCUUUCCUCACCGUUUCUCCUUUCCAGCCCUGUUUUACUCCAUGCUUUGUGAGGUGUAUGGGCAAAAAGAGGGAGAAAGAGGAGAAAUGCUGAGAAUGGAGUUGGAAAAAGGCUGCAAGGAACAGAAUUUGAAAACUCUGCCAAAACUCCAAGCUUAAAGGAAUCUGAGAUGAACCAUCUGGCAUCAAUGUCUGCGUGUCAACAUCUGUGCAUGUACUGACAAAGGUGCACAAGAGAAAGAGGGAACUUUUCUUUCUGCGGGAGCUGAAGCAAACAAAUGUGGAAGAGAAGACAGCUUGUUGCUUUCUCUCUCAAUGUAUUUUGAUCCAAGCUGCCCUUCUUCAUGUAUUAAGCAUCUUUUCCUGAUCCAUAUCAGAAGAGGAUUUUGCUUUAGGCAGAUUCCCCGUUCUUAUGUGCGGAAGAGAAUACCUUGAUUUGCUUUGCCAGAUUUGUUGAUUCCCAACCCCCCUUAAGAUCUACAAAUCUAAAGUAACUCUAAUUUCUAUGCAGUUGUGCUGCGCUUAAAGUGGCAAACUGUGUACAAAACUGGAAAAUUUUGUACUGUUCAGGUCUCAGGUAGGAAUCAAAAUUGUGCUACCACAAAUCCAAUCUUCUCUAUACAGCAAUUCCUAUUCCUAUCAAUGCCUACUGUGAAAAGUUGGUGAUACAGUGAUAG